rnacentral:rRNA from 1 species
UUGAACGCUGGCGGCAGGCCUAACACAUGCAAGUCGAACGGUAACAGGAAGAAGCUUGCUUCUUUGCUGACGAGUGGCGGACGGGUGAGUAAUGUCUGGGAAACUGCCUGAUGGAGGGGGAUAACUACUGGAAGCGGUAGCUAAUACCGCAUAACGUCGCAAGACCAAAAAGGGGGACCUUCGGGCCUCUUGCCAUCGGAUGUGCCCAGAUGGGAUUAGCUAGUAGGUGGGGUAACGGCUCACCUAGGCGACGAUCCCUAGCUGGUCUGAGAGGAUGACCAGCCACACUGGAACUGAGACACGGUCCAGACUCCUACGGGAGGCAGCAGUGGGGAAUAUUGCACAAUGGGCGCAAGCCUGAUGCAGCCAUGCCGCGUGUAUGAAGAAGGCCUUCGGGUUGUAAAGUACUUUCAGCGGGGAGGGAGGGAGUAAAGUUAAUACCUUUGCUCAUUGACGUUACCCGCAGAAGAAGCACCGGCUAACUCCGUG